rnacentral:tRNA from 1 species
GCCUGGGUGGCUCAGUUGGUUAAGCAUCUGACUUCCGCUCGGGUCAUGAUCUUAACGUUUGUGGGUUCAAACCCCGCCUCCAGCU